rfam:Puccinia sorghi strain RO10H11247 Scaffold_243, whole genome shotgun sequence.
AGCGAGAUGGCGCAGCUGGUAGCGCGCUGGGCUCAUAUCGACUUCGGUCGAGUUCACCCAGAGGUCGUCGGAUCGAAACUGACUCUCGCUA